CCUACGGGUGACAGCAGUGAGGAAUAUUGGUCAAUGGGCGGGAGCCUGAACCAGCCAAGUCGCGUGAAGGAAGAAGGUACUUAGUAUUGUAAACUUCUUUUGUCGGGGAACAAAGGCGGAGACGCGUCUCCGGAUGAGUGUACCCGAAGAAAAAGCAUCGGCUAACUCCGUGCCAGCAGCCGCGGUAAUAUGGAGGAUGCGAGCGUUAUCCGGAUUUAUUGGGUUUAAAGGGUGCGUAGGCGGUCCGGAAAGUCAGCGGUAAAAGCCCGGGGCUCAACCCCGGCGAGCCGUUGAAACUGUCGGACUAGAGACGGCGAGAAGUACGCGGAAUGCGCGGUGUAGCGGUGAAAUGCAUAGAUAUCGCGCAGAACUCCGAUUGCGAAGGCAGCGUACCGGCGCCGGACUGACGCUGAGGCACGAAAGCGUGGGUAUCGAACAGGAUUAGAUACCCGAGUAGUC
rnacentral:rRNA from 1 species